UACAGAGGGGGCAAGCGUUGUUCGGAAUUACUGGGCGUAAAGGGCGCGUAGGCGGCCCGCUAAGUCGAACGUGAAAUCCCUGGGCUCAACCCAGGAACUGCGUCCGAUACUGGCAGGCUUGAAUCCGGGAGAGGGAUGUGGAAUUCCAGGUGUAGCGGUGAAAUGCGUAGAUAUCUGGAGGAACACCGGUGGCGAAGGCGGCAUCCUGGACCGGUAUUGACGCUGAUGCGCGAAAGCCAGGGGAGCAAACGGG
rnacentral:rRNA from 1 species